AGAGUUUGAUCCUGGCUCAGGACGAACUCUGGCGGCGCGCCUAACACAUGCAAGUCGAACGAGCGAGAGGAGGUUUACUUUCUCAAGCGAGUGGCGGACGGGUGAGUAACGCGUGAGGAACCUGCCUCAAAGAGGGGGACAACAGUUGGAAACGACUGCUAAUACCGCAUAAGCCCACGACCCGGCAUCGGGUAGAGGGAAAAGGAGCAAUCCGCUUUGAGAUGGCCUCGCGUCCGAUUAGCUAGUUGGUGAGGUAAUGGCCCACCAAGGCGACGAUCGGUAGCCGGACUGAGAGGUUGAACGGCCACAUUGGGACUGAGACACGGCCCAGACUCCUACGGGAGGCAGCAGUGGGGAAUAUUGCACAAUGGGGGAAACCCUGAUGCAGCGACGCCGCGUGGAGGAAGAAGGUCUUCGGAUUGUAAACUCCUGUUGUUGAGGAAGAUAAUGACGGUACUCAACAAGGAAGUGACGGCUAACUACGUGCCAGCAGCCGCGGUAAAACGUAGGUCACAAGCGUUGUCCGGAAUUACUGGGUGUAAAGGGAGCGCAGGCGGGAAGACAAGUUGGAAGUGAAAUCCAUGGGCUCAACCCAUGAACUGCUUUCAAAACUGUUUUUCUUGAGUAGUGCAGAGGUAGGCGGAAUUCCCGGUGUAGCGGUGGAAUGCGUAGAUAUCGGGAGGAACACCAGUGGCGAAGGCGGCCUACUGGGCACCAACUGACGCUGAGGCUCGAAAGUGUGGGUAGCAAACAGGAUUAGAUACCCUGGUAGUCCACACUGUAAACGAUGAUUACUAGGUGUUGGAGGAUUGACCCCUUCAGUGCCGCAGUUAACACAAUAAGUAAUCCACCUGGGGAGUACGACCGCAAGGUUGAAACUCAAAGGAAUUGACGGGGGCCCGCACAAGCAGUGGAGUAUGUGGUUUAAUUCGACGCAACGCGAAGAACCUUACCAAGUCUUGACAUCCUGCGACGGACAUAGAAAUAUGUUUUUCCUUCGGGACGCAGAGACAGGUGGUGCAUGGUUGUCGUCAGCUCGUGUCGUGAGAUGUUGGGUUAAGUCCCGCAACGAGCGCAACCCCUAUCUUCAGUAGCCAGCAGGUAAGGCUGGGCACUCUGGAGAGACUGCCAGGGAUAACCUGGAGGAAGGUGGGGACGACGUCAAAUCAUCAUGCCCCUUAUGAUCUGGGCGACACACGUGCUACAAUGGCGGUCACAAAGUGAGGCGAACCCGCGAGGGGGAGCAAACCACAAAAAGGCCGUCCCAGUUCGGACUGUAGUCUGCAACCCGACUACACGAAGCUGGAAUCGCUAGUAAUCGCGAAUCAGAAUGUCGCGGUGAAUACGUUCCCGGGUCUUGUACACACCGCCCGUCA
rnacentral:rRNA from 1 species